rnacentral:lncRNA from 1 species
CAAAAGGGGGAGAAAUAUUUAAGAAGAAAAUAUGCCCUUAAAAGGCUAUCUUAUUGAAAAUGUCUUGACUUGUAAAACUAAGGGGGAGAAAAAUGAAAAGUUUAAAUAUACUCAAUUUUGAAAAAGAAAAGGGGAGAAAACAUUAAAGAAUAAUUAAUUAAAUGAAUAUAUAUUCAAAUUUGAUAAUCUGAAUUUAGAUGUGUUUAAUUUGAAAUAAAGAGGGGGAG